rnacentral:rRNA from 1 species
CGACAGGACGGAAAGACCCCGUGGAGCUUUACUGUAGCCUGAUAUUGAAAUUCGGCACAGCUUGUACAGGAUAGGUAGGAGCCUUUGAAACGUGAGCGCUAGCUUACGUGGAGGCGCUGGUGGGAUACUACCCUAGCUGUGUUGGCUUUCUAACCCGCACCACUUAUCGUGGUGGGAGACAGUGUCAGGCGGGCAGUUUGACUGGGGCGGUCGCCUCCUAAAAGGUAACGGAGGCGCUCAAAGGUUCCCUCAGAAUGGUUGGAAAUCAUUCAUAGAGUGUAAAGGCAUAAGGGAGCUUGACUGCGAGACCUACAAGUCGAGCAGGGUCGAAAGACGGACUUAGUGAU